GACGAACGCUGGCGGCGUGCUUAACACAUGCAAGUCGAACGAAGUGGCGAACGGGUGAGUAACGCGUAAUAAACUUGCCCUUCAGAGGGGGACAACAGUUGGAACCGACUGCUAAUACCGCAUACUGAAGGAGGGGAUUGCGUCUGAUUAGCUAGUUGGAGGGGUAACGGCCCACCAAGGCGAUGAUCAGUCGCCGGUCUGAGAGGGUGAACGGCCCAAUUGGGACUGGUGCACGGCCCAGACUCCUACGGGAGGCAGCAGUGGGGAAUCUUUCGCAAUUGGCGAAAGUCUGACGGAGCAACGCCGCGUGAGUGAUGACGGCCUUCGGGUUGUAAAGCUCUGUUAAUCGGGACGCGGUACCGGAAUAGAAAGCCACGGCUAACUACGUGCCAGCCGCCGCGGUAAUUC
rnacentral:rRNA from 1 species